UUGGCAUUGGCUUAUGUGUCUCUAUUCAGGGGAAGGGACAGUUAGUUCACGUAUUAUUUCCCCAUUUCGUAACAUAAUCUAUCACCUUGCGUCCAUUUCUUUCCCAGUAGUUCUUUGUAUUUUUCCAGCAGUUUGUCAUUUUCUUUUCUGUUCCUGUCCAAGAGAUUUUCCCAUAAUUCAGAGGAAGGAGGAAGCACGCUGGUCUGUUGUGUUUCAUCUCGUAAUGUCCUUUUCGUAAUUUCCAGCAGCAGCUUCCAAUUAUGUUUUCACUUUGUGUCAAUUUGUAUCUUCCAGAGGUUUGCGAUUAUGCUGUUACUUACUGUCUGGAAAUGCUGCCUUCGUUGUGAGGAUGGAAGAAGUAGCUACAUAUUAUCCUCUGUAUUAGUAUAGCUACACACUAUUAUUCCAUGAUGUAAUCUAUUGCAAUGUAUCUUUUUGUACUUUCCAGCAGCCUGCAAUCAUGCCUUUCCUUCCUGUAUUAAUUGUGAGGAUGGAAGAAGUAGCUACAUAUCAUCCUCUGUAUAUACUAUAUUAGAAGUAGCUACACUAUUAUCCCAUAUUGUAAUCUAUUGCAAUGUAUCUUUUUGUACUUUCCAGCAGCCUGCAAUCAUGCCCUUCCUUCCUGUCUUGAUCUUCCAACACUCAGUUCUAAGCACACAAGCACAUGUUAUCUUAUUCCACCCCUUUGUUCUUACUCCCUUCCUCAGUAUCUAACCUUUCCUUGUUGGUUUCCAUGAAUAAGUUUUUUCCUUAUUGAGUAUGUCUUCCUAAUGUAACUGUUGGUCUAUGUUUUUUGUGGUGGUGGCUGAGUGGUCAGCGUGCCAGCCUCGCAUUCGGUGCGUUGUCCAUGAUGUGGGUUCGAAUCCGCCGCUAACCACCUGGGAUUUUUCAGUCACUGCCAAGUGGCCUAAGACUACCCACAUGCUGUCCUGAAGACCACCUAUCAACCCAGACUCUAAAAGAAGCUCUGCAGCACAAGUGGAAUCAAGAAUGAGCUCCGGGGGGCAGCAUGAGCCAAUAAUAAUAAUGGCGCCACUAUAAACAAUUGCCUGCGCCAUGACGGGCUAGGGCCAACCAUCAGGCUCAUAUGGAUUAGCCUACCGGCGCUGUAGGCCACAUGUAAAAAAAAAUAAAAAAAAUAAAAAAAAUCAAAAUGCUAUGUAUAUAUAUUUCUUAACCCGUCCGCUGCAAUUGGCACGGAUUUUGCCUUCACUGGUAGCCUGGUAACAUAAUUAUACUCCCAGGCCUUUCUCUGCCUCUGUGGUGGAUAGUGGAGUGUUUCCCAUGUGGUACUGGUGUGCUGGAUAUCCCUUCACUGGUAGCCUGGUAACAUACACUCCCAGGUCUUUCUCUGCCUCUGUGGUGGAUAGUGGAGUGUUUCCCAUGUGGUAUUGGUGUGCUGGAUAUCCCUUCAGUGGUAGCCUGGUAACAUACACUCCCAGGUCUUUCUCUGCCUCUGUGGUGGAUAGUGGAGUGUUUCCUAUGUGGUAUUGGUGUGCUGGAUAUCCCUUCAGUGGUAGCCUGGUAACAUACACUCCCAGGUGUUUCUCUGCCUCUGUGGUGGAUAGUGGAGUGUUUCCCAUGUGGUAUUGGUGUGCUGGAUAUCCCUUCACUGGUAGCCUGGUAAAAUACACUUCCAGGUCUUUCUCUGCCUCUGUGGUGGAUAUUGGCGUGUUUCCCAUGUGGUAUUGGUGUGCUGGAUAUCCCUUCAGUGGUAGUCUGGUAACAUACACUCCCAGGUCUUUCCCUGCCUCUGUGGUGGAUAGUGGAGUGUUUCCCAUAUGGUAUUGGUGUGCUGGAUAUCCCUUCAGUGGUAGCCUGGUAACAUACACUCCCAGGUCUUUCUCUGCCUCAGUGGUGGAUAGUGAAGUGUUUCCCAUGUGGUAUUGGUGUGCUGGAUAUCCCUUCACUGGUAGCCUGGUCACAUACACUCCCAGGUCUUUCUCUGCCUCUGUGGUGGACAGUGGAGUGUUUCCCAUGUGGUAUUGGUGUGCUGGAUAUUCCUUCACUGGUUGCCUGGUAACAUACACUCCCAGGUCUUUCUCUGCCUCUGUGGUGGAUAGUGGAGUGUUUCCCAUGUGGUAUUGGUGUGCUGGAUAUCCCUUCACUGGUAGCCUGGUAACAUACACUCCCAGGUCUUUCUCUGCCUCUGUGGUGGAUAGUGGAGUGUUUCGCAUGUGGUAUUGGUGUGCUGGAUAUCCCUUUACUGGUAGCCUGGUAACAUACACUCCCAGGCCUUUCUCUGCCUCUGUGGUGGAUAGUGGAGUGUUUCGCAUGUGGUAUUGGUGUGCUGGAUAUCCCUUCACUGGUAGCCUGGUAACAUACACUCCCAGGUCUUUCUCUGCCUCUGUGGUGGAUAGUGGAGUGUUUCCUAUGUGGUAUUGGUGUGGUGGAUAUCCCUUCACUGGUAGCCUGGUAACAUACACUCCCAGGUCUUUCUCUGCCUCUGUGGUGGAUAGUGGAGUGUUUCCCAUGUGGUAUUGGUGUGCUGGAUAUCCCUUCACUGGUAGCCUGGUAACAUACACUCCCAGGUCUUUCUCUGCCUCUGUGGUGGAUAGUGGAGUGUUUCCCAUGUGGUAUUGGUGUGCUGGAUAUCCCUUCACUGGUAGCCUGGUAACAUACACUCCCAGGUCUUUCUCUGCCUCUGUGGUGGAUAGUGGAGUGUUUCCCAUGUGGUAUUGGUGUGCUGGAUAUCCCUUCACUGGUAGCCUGGUAACAUACACUCCCAGGUCUUUCUCUGCCUCUGUGGUGGAUAGUGGAGUGUUUCCCAUGUGGUAUUGGUGUGCUGGAUAUCCCUUCACUGGUAGCCUGGUAACAUACACUCCCAGGUCUUUCUCUGCCUCUGUGGUGGAUAGUGGAGUGUUUCCCAUGUGGUAUUGGUGUGCUGGAUAUCCCUUCACUGGUAGCCUGGUAACAUACACUCCCAGGUCUUUCUCUGCCUCUGUGGUGGAUAGUGGAGUUUUUCCCACGUGGUAUUGGUGUGCUGGAUAUCCCCUCCCAAGGUGCAGGACUUAACAUUUUUCAUCAUUGCAUUGUAGCAGCCACUUUUUGUUCCACUCCCAUAGCUUUUUGAUGUCUUCUUGUAGGAAAUCCACAGUCAAGGGGUUAAAAAUAGGCCUUUCUGACAAACUAUUGCAAUUUUUAUAACACUCUUAUUUCCCUUAUAAGAUUACAUUACGUCGUUUGUCUGGUGGAGAACAGUUUUGAUUCUUCGCAGAGACAAACAAAGGGAAACAAUUCAAAGUGUUUUUAUUCCUCUUAAUAAUGAACAAAUACUUGACUUCUGGGCUGCCAACGGAGUAAUGGAUUGUUUCAUCUUUAGGGCGAACAAAGAAAUUAGCGCCUGAAUGUUCAAACGCUGUAUUAGCCUUCGUCAAGAACACUGUGGCUGACUUGUCUUUGCUGGUUUGUUAAUGUGUUGACUACACUCUGAAAAUCCAGGACUUCUAGCUAACAACUCCAUCUCAAAAUUAGAAGCAAAGUCACACCAGCCACAGAGCUUGAUACUACUACCACGCUUGAAAAACCCGGCGUACAUGACUAAACGAUAUAUGUACGUACCUCCUUGAGACGACAAGUAAUAUAUGGAGCCGAAAAGAACCUCCUCGUAACCGACUCUACGUAACCGUUUAUCCCGAGCCUGUGUUGUCGUUCCGAGUCGGAAGAACUUAAAAUAUAUUGUCAUUACGAACUCUCUCUUUCAUAACACAAGUCCUACAGCAAUACUUCCUCUCCACAACACAAGUCCUACAGCAAUACUUCCUCUCCACAACACAAGUCCUACAGCAAUACUUCCUCUCCACAACACAAGUCCUACAGCAAUACUUCCUCUCCACAACACAAGUCCUACAACAAUACAAGGAUCGUAAUGUUACGUCUACGUAAAGACGAGAAAUAAGCAAACAGUGAGUGCUGGGAUGACGUAACCUUGCCUCAACGUACAGAGAUCAAAGUGUGAAUUGAGGUUACUUAUACAAACAUCUCGUAAGUAAGGUUGACAAAUUAUAUUCCAUCAGUUUAAAUGACAUAAUCUUCCCUAUACAUACAGAUCAAGGUAACAUAUGAAAUGAAAUGAGGUUACUUAUACAAACAUACCAGUGAAUUGUGGUUACUUAGACAAACAUACCAGUGAACUGAGGUUACUUAUACAAACAUACCAGUGAAUUGAGGUUACUUAUACAAACAUACCAGUGAAUUGAGGUUACUUAUACAAACAUACCAGUGAAUUGAGGUUACUUAUACAAACAUACCAGUGAAUUGAGGUUACUUAUACAAACA